rnacentral:tRNA from 1 species
AGCCCCAUAGUCUAGUGGUCAAGGACAGCGGGCUCUGAACCCGCUAACGCCAGUUCGAAUCUGGCUGGGGCUA